rnacentral:rRNA from 1 species
UACGUAGGGACCAAGCAUUGUUCGGAUUUACUGGGCGUAAAGGGCGCGUAGGCGGCGUGUUAAGUCACUUGUGAAAUCUCUAAGCUUAACUUAGAACGGUCAAGUGAUACUGACGUGCUAGAGUGCAGAAGGGGCAACCGGAAUUCUUGGUGUAGCGGUGAAAUGCGUAGAUAUCAAGAGGAACACCUGAGGUGAAGACGGGUUGCUGGGCUGACACUGACGCUGAGGCGCGAAAGCGUGGGGAGCGAACAGG